CUUCUCACCAAAACAACAGAUCUGUGGCCAGCGGUCCCGUCGUGCACUUUCGGGUGUUCUGUUCGGUUGACUGCUGGUCAGUUCGACGACUAUGCAAAUCUUUAGACUUCACAGUGGAGUACGUGCGGUCGACAGAUCUCAGAAAGAGUCAGCUUCUCCCGUCUUGAGCUCUUCGUGAGCUCGGCGGGAGUCGUCUGAGGGCGCUAUAUUCCGAAUCGUUCCCGAGUCCAUUGGACGGUGAGGGUAGGGAAAAACCAUAGCUUGCCUACAUAU
rfam:Hortaea werneckii EXF-2000 unitig_5, whole genome shotgun sequence.